AAAUCUGUAACUGAUGAAUGUAGUGGAGUAAAAAAGUAGUAUAUAUCUCUCGGAGAUGUAGAGGAGUAGAAGCAGAAAGUGGCAUAAAAGGAAAAGACUCAAGUAAAGUACAUUUACCUCAACAUUCGGACUUAUGUACAGUACUGGAGUAGUUACAUGCCACUGCUGAUUUAAGACUUACCUAAAUAGAUCCCUUCUACGUUGCUGCUGAAGUCAUCCUCCUCUGGUUAAAGAGAAGCAGAGUGGAACAGAUGUGGAGGUGAGUUCACCCACAAAUUGAUCGUUGAUCACGUAAUUGGUCCUCUGUACUUUGAAAGUAUUCCUCACCUUCUCGGAGCUCCUCUGACAUGUCCCCGUUAGACAGCAGGACGGUUUGCAAAAGAAACAGAACAAAUGCUUCAGAUGGAGGACAAAGACGGAG